GACGAACGCUGGCGGCGUGCUUAACACAUGCAAGUCGAACGAAGAGCGAUGGAAGCUUGCUUCCAUCAAUCUUAGUGGCGAACGGGUGAGUAACGCGUAAUCAACCUGCCCUUCAGAGGGGGACAACAGUUGGAAACGACUGCUAAUACCGCAUACGAUCUAACCUUGGCAUCGAGGAUGGAUGAAAGGUGGCCUCUAUUUAUAAGCUAUCACUGAAGGAGGGGAUUGCGUCUGAUUAGCUAGUUGGAGGGGUAACGGCCCACCAAGGCGAUGAUCAGUAGCCGGUCUGAGAGGAUGAACGGCCACAUUGGGACUGAGACACGGCCCAGACUCCUACGGGAGGCAGCAGUGGGGAAUCUUCCGCAAUGGACGAAAGUCUGACGGAGCAACGCCGCGUGAGUGAUGACGGCCUUCGGGUUGUAAAGCUCUGUUAAUCGGGACGAAAGGCCUUCUUGCGAAUAGUUAGAAGGAUUGACGGUACCGGAAGAGAAAGCCACGGCUAACUACGUG
rnacentral:rRNA from 1 species